rnacentral:lncRNA from 1 species
CUGGACAGUCAGAUAUGGUAAGCAAUAUAAGCCAUCCGCCCACCAACAAUAGACGUCCUGUCAGCGACAAUCUAAUGGAUCAAGCUCAGGAAGGACGCCAACCAAGGAUCAGUACUUAGCUCCCAAGGGUAAUCACUCAUCUGUCUCCAGAUCGUCCUUGUCCUAAGGCAGCGCAGGACAGCAUGCUUCGCUGACUCAUCCUCCACCUCAU